AUUGAACGCUGGCGGCAGGCUUAACACAUGCAAGUCGAGCGGGGUGAUGGUGCUUGCACUAUCACUUAGCGGCGGACGGGUGAGUAAUGCUUAGGAAUCUGCCUAUUAGUGGGGGACAACAUCUCGAAAGGGAUGCUAAUACCGCAUACGUCCUACGGGAGAAAGCAGGGGAUCACUUGUGACCUUGCGCUAAUAGAUGAGCCUAAGUCGGAUUAGCUAGUUGGUGGGGUAAAGGCCUACCAAGGCGACGGUCUGUAGCGGGUCUGCGAGGAUGAGCCGCCAGACUGGGACUGAGACACGGCCCAGACGCCUACGGGGAGCAGCAGUGGGGAAUAUUGGACAAUGGGGGGAACCCUGAUCCAGCCAUGCCGCGUGUGUGAAGAAGGCCUUAUGGUUGUAAAGCACUUUAAGCGAGGAGGAGGCUCUUUUGGUUAAUACCCAAGAUGAGUGGACGUUACUCGCAGAAUAAGCACCGGCUAACUCUGUGCCAGCAGCCGCCGCGG
rnacentral:rRNA from 1 species